rnacentral:rRNA from 1 species
GGCUCAGGACGAACGCUGGCGGCGUGCCUAAUACAUGCAAGUCGAACGCACAGCGAAAGGUGCUUGCACCUUUCAAGUGAGUGGCGAACGGGUGAGUAACACGUGGACAACCUGCCUCAAGGCUGGGGAUAACAUUUGGAAACAGAUGCUAAUACCGAAUAAAACUUAGUGUCGCAUGACACAAAGUUAAAAGGCGCUUCGGCGUCACCUAGAGAUGGAUCCGCGGUGCAUUAGUUAGUUGGUGGGGUAAAGGCCUACCAAGACAAUGAUGCAUAGCCGAGUUGAGAGACUGAUCGGCCACAUAGGGACUGAGACACGGCCCAAACUCCUACGGGAGGCUGCAGUAGGGAAUCUUCCACAAUGGGCGAAAGCCUGAUGGAGCAACGCCGCGUGUGUGACGAAGGCUUUCGGGUCGUAAAGCACUGUUGUAUGGGAAGAACAGCUAGAAUAGGAAAUGAUUUUAGUUUGACGGUACCAUACCAGAAAGGGACGGCUAAAUACGUGCCAGCAGCCGCGGUAAUACGUAUGUCCCGAGCGUUAUCCGGAUUUAUUGGGCGUAAAGCGAGCGCAGACGGUUUAUUAAGUCUGAUGUGAAAGCCCGGAGCUCAACUCCGGAAUGGCAUUGGAAACUGGUUAACUUGAGUGCAGUAGAGGUAAGUGGAACUCCAUGUGUAGCGGUGGAAUGCGUAGAUAUAUGGAAGAACACCAGUGGCGAAGGCGGCUUACUGGACUGCAACUGACGUUGAGGCUCGAAAGUGUGGGUAGCAAACAGGAUUAGAUACCCUGGUAGUCCACACCGUAAACGAUGAACACUAGGUGUUAGGAGGUUUCCGCCUCUUAGUGCCGAAGCUAACGCAUUAAGUGUUCCGCCUGGGGAGUACGACCGCAAGGUUGAAACUCAAAGGAAUUGACGGGGACCCGCACAAGCGGUGGAGCAUGUGGUUUAAUUCGAAGCAACGCGAAGAACCUUACCAGGUCUUGACAUCCUUUGAAGCUUUUAGAGAUAGAAGUGUUCUCUUCGGAGACAAAGUGACAGGUGGUGCAUGGUCGUCGUCAACUCGUGUCGUGAGAUGUUGGGUUAAGUCCCGCAACGAGCGCAACCCUUAUUGUUAGUUGCCAGCAUUCAGAUGGGCACUCUAGCGAGACUGCCGGUGACAAACCGGAGGAAGGCGGGGACGACGUCAGAUCAUCAUGCCCCUUAUGACCUGGGCUACACACGUGCUACAAUGGGGUAUACAACGAGUUGCCAGCCCGCGAGGGUGAGCUAAUCUCUUAAAGUACGUCUCAGUUCGGAUUGUAGUCUGCAACUCGACUACAUGAAGUCGGAAUCGCUAGUAAUCGCGGAUCAGCACGCCGCGGUGAAUACGUUCCCGGGUCUUGUACACACCGCCCGUCACACCAUGGGAGUUUGUAAUGCCCAAAGCCGGUGGCCUAACCCUUUAGGAAGGAGCCGUCUAAGGCAGGACAGAUGACUGGGGUG